CGCAAGCCUGACGGAGCAAUACCGCGUGAGGGAGGAAGGCCUUUGGGUUGUAAACCUCUUUUCUUAAGGAAGAAGAUCUGACGGUACUUAAGGAAUCAGCAUCGGCUAACUCCGUGCCAGCAGCCGCGGUAAUACGGAGGAUGCAAGCGUUAUCCGGAAUUAUUGGGCGUAAAGCGUCCGCAGGCGGCAUUAUAAGUCUGCUGUCAAAGACCGCAGCUCAACUGCGGAAAGGCAGUGGAAACUGUAAAGCUAGAGUACGGUAGGGGUAGAGGGAAUUCCCAGUGUAGCGGUGAAAUGCGUAGAGAUUGGGAAGAACACCAGUGGCGAAAGCGCUCUACUGGGCCGUAACUGACGCUCAGGGACGAAAGCUAGGGGAGCG
rnacentral:rRNA from 1 species